AUUGAACGCUGGCGGCAUGCCUUACACAUCCAAGUCGAACGGCAGCACGGGUGCUUGCACCUGGUGGCGAGUGGCGAACGGGUGAGUAAUACAUCGGAACAUGUCCUGUAGUGGGGGAUAGCCCGGCGAAAGCCGGAUUAAUACCGCAUACGAUCUACGGAUGAAAGCGGGGGACCUUCGGGCCUCGCGCUAUAGGGUUGGCCGAUGGCUGAUUAGCUAGUUGGUGGGGUAAAGGCCUACCAAGGCGACGAUCAGUAGCUGGUCUGAGAGGACGACCAGCCACACUGGGACUGAGACACGGCCCAGACUCCUACGGGAGGCAGCAGUGGGGAAUUGUGGACAAAGGGCGAAAGCCUGAUCCAGCAAUGCCGCGUGUGUGAAGAAGGCCUUCGGGUUGUAAAGCACUUUUGUCCGGAAAGAAAUCCUUGGCUCUAAUACAGUCGGGGGAUGACGGUACCGGAAGAAUAAGCACCGGCUAACUACGUG
rnacentral:rRNA from 1 species